rnacentral:lncRNA from 1 species
CUUGAGAGGUGGUCUGGUCUAAUCAUUUCUAGAUGACUCUUCUGAUUCUCAGACACAAAGAGAGGAGUUAAAAGAAUUUAGAAUCAUUUUGGGUGUGGUGGGAACAAACUCAUGCACAUUCUUCUCUAGAGAAAAAUCACACAUGUCCUAAUCCUUGAGGUUUCUUUUAAUUCCAUUUUUCCUCCAGGCCAACAGUAAGAUGUUUUUACUUUUUUUUUUUUUUCCAGAAGAGGUGUGGUGGAAGGGUCUGCCAGAACCAGAGGCUAAGCACACAGCAGUGUAAAACAAAUUCUUUAUUCCAGCUUCCAGAAUGCAUCCUCUUCAGCCUUUCCUGUUCAUUGGACUAAAGCUGUUAAGCAAUGGUGUCAAGAACCGUCAUCCACUGGUUGAAGCUCAGUACAAAACCAGGAAGCAGGCGGGUUUAGAUCCAGUAGGAACAACUUGACUCAGAUCUUCGCACUUUCACUAAGGAGGGUCGGGGGUGAGGAGACAACAUUUACAUUUGUACUGAAGCUGAUCUGAUGUGAUUGUGACAGUUUUCCAGUCAGUAUUUGUUUAUCUUAAUUUAGUCGCGUGUUAAAAAUGUGAGGGUCAAAUUUACUUCCUUUCAAGGCCACUUGGCGUACACGUCUUGUAGUCUUUGGAAGGGAUGGCAAGGAAACAGCCAUGCUUUAAUGAUGGGAUUAGAUGUUGAUGAAAGCUAGGUGUAAUAGUAGAAACAUUUUAUUGUAUAUUUUUAUUCCAAAGUAAGUGCAGUGUUAUUAUAUUUAGAUAAAUGUUCAGUGAUAAGCCAGAAAUCUUACACAUACAUUGCUGAAGACAUUUUCCCUCUGGAUUUAAUAAAAUUCUGGUACACAGAGGUACAAAAUGUAAUUCAUAAAUGUAAUGAAAACCCUAGAAAACGCUUCCCGCAUGCUUUCCUUCCCUCCCCUCCCCUCCUGUCCCUUUCCUCCUCUUCUCCAGCCCACUCUCCAGUCUUGCUUGCCUUCAUUGCUGGGGGAAAAAAAAAAAGAGCAGGUGAGCACAUAAUUAGGUUGUCACUUUUAAACUCUGGAUUAGUGGGACAUCCUGGAAGACCUCCCUCAACUGCAGUGCUGAACAAACGACUUUUUCCACCCCCAUCUGCAUGCUCCUACUACUUUUGACUAGAUGUCUUGAGAAUCUGCCAAUAUUUUUAAUUGAUCAAGUGAAAAAUACACAGGAAGUAUGCCUGUUUUUUAAUUUGUUUGUAUAUUUUCUUGAUGCGUUGCAUAAAGACCCAAAGGUGCUUUGGCUUCUGUCUGUCCUCACUGGAACUGUGGUUACUGUGGGGUGUGUGGUACUCCGUAGCACACCAUAAAUCUCCACUAGAUGUCAGCGUGUCACCAAAUGAAACCAGCACUCUCUCCUGACCUGUUACUGAAACAGCUUUUUAAUCAGAAUGCUACAGACAAGUUUUAGUAUACAGGUUAAUAAAUUAUAUUUGUCAAUGAAUAGUAAUAAAAAUAAAAUCUUUAAAAAAUUUAGUACCUUUCAUCUGAGGAUUUCAAAAUGUUUUACUUAUAUUUUGGUUUUUGCCGUAAGAGCCCCAAAGAGAUAGAGUGCAAAUAUUCAUUUUUCAUUUUACAGUAAAGUAAAGCAAGGGGACAAAAUGAUUGGCUCAAGAUCACAUAGACGAUGUCUGAAUAAAUGCAGGCUGGUAUUUCUGCCAUCACAGAAUCUACUCUACCUGUGUACUUAGAUACAGAUGCCCUUUAUUUAUCAUUUAUAUUAACUGCUUUGCCUUAAAAACAAGCUCAAGAAAAAUGGAAUAAUAGUUAACAAUUAUCGAAGAUUAUUGAUACGAUUAGUAUGGGGGUGUUUCAGAUGUAAUUUUAAGUUUUUAUAAAGACUGCACAAAGAAAAUAUGCUGAACAACCUAGAUGAAAACUUUAGAAAAUCAUAGCAAUAUUUUACCUGUGCUGUUUUACAGAUGGUGAACUCAGACCAGUGUGAGCCUUGUCUUAGCUCAUGUGCUCAAGUGCAGGAGGAAAAGCAAUUAUAAUUGGGUCUGGAAGGUUGAAGCUCUUGGGUAUGAUGGGAUUAAUGGACAUAACUGCAUAUUGUAGGUUUUUCACUGUAUAAUUUUCUUUAAGAGGAAUAUACAUAAAAUCCUGUAUAUUAAGACUUAAGUGAUUUUCUCAAAAUUGUAUAAAUACAUAAGUUACAACUGUAAAAGUUAUGUUUGUGGAUAAAGAUUAAAAAUACAUAAAUGGCAAGUUAGGGUGAUGUGACUAUGGGUAAAUUCAAUUUUCUCUUUAUGUGGUAAUAUUGUUUCUACAAUAAAUAAAAAGAGAAAACGGUUUUUAUUGUAAAAAUUCACCACAGUCCCCACUUUAGAUAGGCUUAUUUCCUAUCAGUAGAGGUGCAUUGUAUACAGCUGAAAUUCAAAAGGUAUAGUUGAGUUUAUUUCCUUCAAAUGUUUUAAUCAUAGAAACCAGGGUUAAACCGGCAGAAGUACAUAUUUUCGAACUUUACUGUGUAUUUUAGGUGAAAUAAAUGAUUGCCCAUUCCAGCAGGCUGUUUGCUGCAGUGUUCAGUGCAUUGCCAGUAUUCAUACUGAUGAAAAAGUGUUUAAUAAAUGUAGCUGUUUUCAAUUUGUGUUUUCAUUUUAAUGGUGCAAGGUUAAAAGAGUUGCCA